rnacentral:rRNA from 1 species
CCGAUAACGAACGAGACCUCAGCCUGCUAACUAGCUACGCGGAGGUUCCCCUUCGCGGCCAGCUUCUUAGAGGGACUAUGGCCGUUUAGGCCAUGGAAGUUUGAGGCAAUAACAGGUCUGUGAUGCCCUUAGAUGUCCUGGGCCGCACGCGCGCUACACUGACACCUGCAACGAGCGUAGAACCUUGGCCGAGAGGCCUGGGUAAUCUUUGGAACGGGUGUCGUGAUAGGGACAGAUUAUUGCAAUUAUUAAUCUCGAACGAGGAAUUCCUAGUAAACGCGAAUCAUCAGUUCGCAUUGAUUACGUCCCUGCCCUUUGUACACACCGCCCGUCGCUCCUACCGAUUGAAUGGUCCGGUGAAGUGUUCGGAUCGCG